UGUGUGUGUGUUUGUGUGUGUGUGUGUGUGUUUGUGUGUUUUUUUGCUCAUGCUUGGGUGUACACGCUUCAACAUAACCCCAGAGGGGCUGCCCCUCGUAUAGAUAUCUACCGUUUCACCGCCGGGCCGAAGGGAGGGGGGGGUAAUGCUGAGAUCAUCAGAUUUGGAUCUCAGUGCAACUCAACAAGUGACCAAAGAACCUGGCAAGGAAUCUGGAAAUGCCAUGUUAUUAACGAACUCAUUAUCAAACAUUCAGCCCUAUAUACUGCUGCUAUACCUGAUUUUCCAACCAAGGUACAACGGUUUUCAUAACAAAGACGUUGUCUUUUUAAAGUCAGCUUUUAGUAUCCUCCAAAAGUUGCUGAAUAUUUUCAUAAAACCUCCAACCAAUACUUUGAAAAACAUUUGAAUGACAUACAGCCAUUUUGUUCAAUGACAGCAACUACCUAUUCCACUUAUCUAUUGUUUAGUCCUGGUAACACACAGUGAGGUUAUACACAGUGAGGUUAUACACAGUGAGGUUAUACACAGUGAGGUUAUACACAGUGAGGUUAUACA
ensembl:lncRNA